rnacentral:rRNA from 1 species
GCCCCUACGGGAGGCAGCAGUGGGGAAUAUUGCGCAAUGGGGGAAACCCUGACGCAGCAACGCCGCGUGCGGGAUGAAGGCUUUCGGGUUGUAAACCGCUUUCAGCAGGGAAGAUAAUGACGGUACCUGCAGAAGAAGCCCCGGCUAACUACAUGCCAGCAGCCGCGGUAAUACGUAGGGGGCAAGCGUUAUCCGGAUUCAUUGGGCGUAAAGCGCGCGCAGGCGGGCCGCUAAGCGGGAACUCUAAUUUUUGGGCUCAAACUCAACCCGGGGCCCGAACUGG